UAUACUAUAAUUGAAAUUUUACAAGAAAAAAUAAAGAUGAUUACACCGACCAAACGAUUUGGUUCAUUAUUCAACUAAAAGGUACAUAUUUACAAUAUUGUAACAUAAUAAACAUAGUUUAAGAAGAUUUUUAUGCAUGAAGCUAAGAAUAAAAUUCGGAACAUCUCACAACCAAAUGUUUGGACCAAAGAAAACGAAUCUAUAGAUUAGUCAAAAAGAAUUCAGACACAAAUACAACAUUAACAAAGCCUUUGAGCUCUCUCUCUCUCUAUCUCUCUAAUUUCCUCUGCAGCCUCUGUUUUUUUACAAGUCAGAUUAGCUUACUUAGGACAGAAGUUACAUGGAGAGACCAAGCCUUGUUGUCAUCUCUUUG
rnacentral:lncRNA from 1 species